rnacentral:lncRNA from 1 species
GACCAAGCUCUAGGCACUGCACAGCACCUGUUUCAGCUGCCUUCAUGGUCAUUGGAAUGAAUUUUUCUCACCUGCCUAAUUCUCCAGAGAUGUCUUCACUUGCUUGGGGUAGACAUCCCCUAACUCACCAAUGGAGCUGAGACCUGUUGGUUAUCCUCAACCUGUUAAGAUGGUUUUACUGGGGUAUGGCCACUCUGCAUGUGGCUUCUUUGAGCCAGCAAUGAGAACUGGGUAAAAGGUAGACAUCGAAGGUGGAUGGAUGGGCAGCCCUGAAAGGGGUUCACACCGAAGAGCUAGUCCUCCCAGAACACUCCCAAAAUGAGUGUUCAGCUUCAAGGCCAAAACAUAGAAUGGACCGAGAGGAAACAUGAAGGAGUCUCUGAAGUCCACUUUCUGGUGUUAGUAAACUACAUUUCAAUCAACCACCUCUGAGGUGCUCCAGAAUUCCUCAAUUUGCUGAACCACUGAAAACCAAACCUGGCCACCAGUUGAACUGUCAACAUUGAUCUCAACCCUCUGACUCCUGAAGACUCCUGAACUUCACCAGAUCUUCAAAAAUGGGCCCCAGAACAUCAGUCGUUGCCGAAGUUGAUGCCGUGCAGCAUAAGCCAAUUAGAGGAGAUGAAGCCACACAGAUCGGAGCUUUGGAAAUAAACAUCUGCUUGCAGCUGGGGAAAUGACUGCUAGGAACUGGUGUUUUUAUGCUUGUUUCCACAACUGAUCAGAACUCCAUAUAAUUUACUGCCUGUGACAACCGCAAGGUUCAUGUUAUUUGGCCCUGCCCUGUGUCUGAUCCCCAAUCCAGCUGCACUAGUUACAUCUGGUGCUUCUUGACAUUGACUGGCCCAAAUAACCAGAAAGUACUUCCUGGAUGGGGUGAGAUUCUGGCAAAUGAGGACUAGGGGGUGAAGGGGAGCUGUGAAAGGAUCGGGGUGAUGACUCACUGCUAGGCACAGGAAAUGGGUUUCAUAGACUGCUAGACAUUUGGGCUUGGAAAGAACCUUAGAGAACAUAUAGACCAACCUACUUCGUUCCAUUUUUACAGUUGAGGAAACUGAGGCCCAGGUAGGGAGAGAAUUUGUCCAAGUUUAUAUUAAACCUAGUUAGAACUUGUUCAAGGUUAUUUUAAAACUAGUUAGUAUCAGAACUGGAACUCAGUCUUUGGUUUUCUUGAUUAAUAAUGCAACGUCAACUCCCCAUUUGAAAAGCAAGGAAAUAAAAAGAUGGAGAGGAGAUCCCA